rnacentral:rRNA from 1 species
GAUGAACGCUGGCGGCGUGCCUAAUACAUGCAAGUCGAGCGAACGGACGAGAAGCUUGCUUCUCUGAUGUUAGCGGCGGACGGGUGAGUAACACGUGGAUAACCUACCUAUAAGACUGGGAUAACUUCGGGAAACCGUAGCUAAUACCGGAUAAUAUUUUGAACCGCAUGGUUCAAAAGUGAAAGACGGUCUUGCUGUCACUUAUAGAUGGAUCCGCGCUGGAUUAGCUAGUUGGUAAGGUAACGGCUUACCAAGGCAACGAUGCAUAGCCGACCUGAGAGAGUGAUCGGCCACGCUGGAACUGAGACACGGUCCAGACUCCUACGGGAGGCAGCAGUAGGGAAUCUUCCGCAAUGGGCGAAAGCCUGACGGAGCAACGCCGCGUGAGUGAUGAAGGUCUUCGGAUCGUAAAACUCUGUUAUUAGGGAAGAACAUAUGUGUAAGUAACUGUGCACAUCUUGACGGUACCUAAUCAGAAAGCCACGGCCAACUACGUG